AAGCGUGGGGAGCAAACAGGAUUAGAUACCCUGGUAGUCCACGCCCUAAACGAUGAGUACUAAGUGUAGCCAGAAGGCUGUGCUGAAGUUAACGCAUUAAGUACUCCGCCUGAGUAGUACGUACGCAAGUAUGAAACUUAAAGGAAUUGACGGGAUCCCGCACAAGCGGUGGAGCAUGUUGUUUAAUUCGACGAUACGCGAAGAACCUUACCAGGUCUUGACAUACUCGGCAAAUCUAUAGAGAUAUAGAGGAGGUUAACCGGGAUACAGGUGGUGCAUGGUUGUCGUCAGCUCGUGUCGUGAGAUGUUAGGUUAAGUCCUGCAACGAGCGCAACCCUUAUUGCUAGUUACCAUCAUUAAGUUGGGGACUCUAGCGAGACUGCCGGUGAUAAACCGGAGGAAGGCGGGGAUGACGUCAAAUCAUCAUGCCCUUUAUGACCUGGGCUACAAACGUGCUACAAUGGCUGACACAAAGAGAAGCGAGCUCGCGAGAGUAAGCAAACCUCAGAAAGGCCGUCCCAGUUCGGAUUGAAGUCUGCAACUCGACUUCAUGAAGUUGGAAUCGCUAGUAAUCGCGAAGCAGAGUGUCGCGGUGAAUACGUUCCCGGGCUUUGUACACACCGCCCGUCAAACCAUGAGAGUUUGUAAUACCCGAAGCCGGUGGCCGAACCGCAAGGAAGGAGCCGUCUAAGGUAGGACAGAUGAUUGGGGUUAAGUCGUAACAAGGUAUCCCUACGAGAACGUGGGGAUG
rnacentral:rRNA from 1 species